AAUACUCGAGUUAUAUGCAGAGUUUCAAACACAAAUGAAGGUGGUCGGAGGUCGACAUCUUUUCCAGUUUAAGAGGUUGGAACGGAAGAGGAAGUUGAGAGUCCAACGACACGGUUGUGCAGUAGAUUAACGACUUUGUUAGAAAAUUCCCAUUCCCAUUAUGAUAUGUGGGAAUCAUCAAUAAGAGACACUCAUCGGUUUCAGGCCUAGAUUUCAACUACAACAGGCAGAAUGUCCAACGGUUGAGGUUUGGCGGUAAUCGAGAAUUCGACACCUCAACACGAUACUUAGUUGUUUUGAUUUCAACAUUGGGAGGCUAAUGUUUUACAUUGGGAACACUUACAGGGUUCAGAUUUCC
rnacentral:lncRNA from 1 species